AGAGUUGUGGCUCAGUGGUAGAGCACUUGCCUGAUAUGUGUGAGGCCCUGGGUUUGAUCCUCAGCACUA
rnacentral:tRNA from 1 species